UGAUCUUGGUUAAACUUAACUGACCUCUUU
rnacentral:piRNA from 1 species